UGGACCCUGGUUCAGCAAAGCACUCAAGCUUGUGCUUAAACUGAAAUCCAGUCUCAUUCUGCAAAUCCAUUGGAAGUGUUUGCUUAAAGCCAAACACAUGCUUAAGUCAAGUUUUGUUUGGCACAGCCUUAGGCACAGCACAGAGCUAGGGCCUUAGAAUUAAUUUCUUUUUGAAAGGAAGUCAUUAUUUUUAGCUCACCUCUCACUGGCUACAGCCAUAUCUUUUAGUCCCCAGAUAUCUAUUUUCAGGAGGUAUACGUGCUAAGCCUAAACUUCUGGUUUCUGUGACAAUCAGUGGCACAGAAAAGAUAUCGAAUACCGUUACUGGUGUAAAGAAAGAGACCACUUGAAAUACUUGACUGCUAAGUACAGAUGAGAGGGGCCUUCAGUGAGGCUCAUUAGAGGGGAGACAUAAAAGAAGUUGUGAUUAUUCUGGGAGGUGGCUGCUGAUAGCAGGGGUGAUCUUUUCACUGUGCUGACUGAAAAAGAUUCACUUGGUCAACAAUUUUAACUCAAAAUGUUUACAUGAGUUUUCUGUCAAAAAUUUCCACAGUAAAUUUAUGAUUUCAGGGAAGAUGUUUAUGUUCUCCUCAAAGGUAUCAAAAAAAGGUUUGGCAGCAAUGUGAUAGUUUGUGUUGUUUUAUCCUGAAACUCUUUCUUAAUAUAUAAUAAAAUUAUUAAAGGAAAUUUGAUUUCAAAGAGUUUUAUAGCUCACUUCUAGCUUUAGAUUUCUUCUCUUGUUAAGCAGACUCCCGCUGUUCGUUUUUCUGGCUUAAACAUGGGAGUUACUUAUCCCAACAUAAAUGGUGACCACCAUACAGUCCUGGCCAGCUCAACCGCACGUUUUGCUCAGGUAGGUCUGGCCUAUGGCACAUCUGGAGGAGGAGCAAUUGCAUUUUCGAAGAUGUUUUUCUGAGGGAUGCCCUGAUGUAUUCCCUUUAACUUCCACACUUCCUACAGAAGGUAGAAAUACAAGGAUAGGUCAAAAUAAAUGAUUUUAUUUCUUUCUGUGGGCUUAAAAAUCUCCUGCUUCAUACGCCCUUGUGGUAGUGGAAUGAAUAAAACCUCAUUCUGACUCCUUCUGCUGAGCUGUAGAAAAGCUUUCUAACAGUGGGGAGAGUUGGGUAAGAGGACAAAUUCCCAGGGAAAUUCAGCACUGUUGUAUUUGAAAGCAGACUGCACAAACACUUCAUAAGAAUAAUUUAGAUACUGUUAAUCCACUCCUGAGCAGGGUUUCAUGAUGACCUUUUAAUACCCAUUUAACCCUGUCCCAGUGGGAAAGUCUUCCCCUUCCCCAGAAGCUUCUGAAUUCCCAAGUAGAAGACCCCAUUUAGAUCUAUCACUUGGCCACCACAUUGCUUUACUAAUCCACCUCUCUUCUUUUUUUCUAUGUAGGAAAGUAUGGUGAGUGCAUGGAGCUGUCAUCCCUUACGUGACAGCCACAUAGUGAUGGGAUCCCUGAGUCAAGCCCACUUUUCUUCACUUGCUUGCUUGGUAUCUCUCUGGCUGUCAAGAACAGAUACUAUCAGAGUACAGAGAAGAGCCUGAACAAAGAAAUAUGUCAGUAUAUAUAAACAAGCAGCUUUCACAAACAUCAUUUUGCAGCUUGUCCUGGACUGGUGGAUGCCUCUUGUGAAUCGUGCUGCCGUCCUUGCUGGGAAUGAGCCUGUGCUCAUAUUUAGCUCAGGAACAUGGUACAAGUCACGGAGGAAUGAAACCACUUUCAAAUCAGUUUAAACAAGGUCCAGAUAAUACUGAACACUAACGGACUGACAAAGAGCAAGGCAAUGAAAACACUUUAUCUCCAAGUGUAAGAGGAGCCCAGUUGAAGAGAGUUGUUCUCUGCAGGGUUUGGGAAUAAAUAAACCCCAGCUGUUUCACUGACCUUCC